AAUGCACCAAUUUGUAAGUCGCUCUGGAUAAGAGCGUGUGCUAAAUGAUUUAAA
rfam:Salmo salar isolate Sally breed double haploid chromosome ssa24, whole genome shotgun sequence.